ensembl:lncRNA
UGGACCCAUGGAUCCUAACAGUGUAUAAAGUGCUGAUCCAAUGAGGUGUGGUGGUAGACCCAUGGAUCCUAACAGUGUAUGAAGUGCUGAUCCAAUGAGGUGUGGUGGUAGACCCAUGGAUCCUAACAGUGUAUAAAGGUGCUGAUCCAAUGAGGUGGUAGACCCAUGGAUCCUAACAUGGAUAAAGGUGCUGAUCCAAUGAGGUGUGGUGGUAGACCCAUGGAUCCUAACAGUGGAUAAAGGUGCUGAUCCAAUGAGGUGUGGUGGUAGACCCAUGGAUCCUAACAGUGUAGAAAGUGCUGAUCCAAUGAGGUGUGGUGGUAGACCCAUGGAUCCUAACAGUGUAUAAAGUGCUGAUCCAAUGAGGUGUGGUGGUAGACCCAUGGAUCCUAACAGUGUAUAAAGUGCUGAUUGAAUGAGGUGAGGUGGUGGACCCAUGGAUCCUA